UUAAAUUGAAGAGUUUGAUCAUGGCUCAGAUUGAACGCUGGCGGCAGGCCUAACACAUGCAAGUCGAACGGUAACAGGAARCAGCUUGCUGYUUYGCUGACGAGUGGCGGACGGGUGAGUAAUG
rnacentral:rRNA from 1 species